rnacentral:rRNA from 1 species
AGUGAACGCUGGCGGUAGGCCUAACACAUGCAAGUCGAACGGCAGCACAGUAAGAGCUUGCUAUUACGGGUGGCGAGUGGCGGACGGGUGAGGAAUACAUAGGAAUCUACUUUUUCGUGGGGGAUAACGUAGGGAAACUUACGCUAAUACCGCAUAUGACCUACGGGUGAAAGCAGGGGAUCUUCGGACCUUGCGCGACUGAAUGAGCCGAUGUCGGAUUAGCUAGUUGGCGGGGUAAAGGCCCACCAAGGCGACGAUCCGUAGCUGGUCUGAGAGGAUGAUCAGCCACACUGGAACUGAGACACGGUCCAGACUCCUACGGGAGGCAGCAGUGGGGAAUAUUGGACAAUGGGCGCAAGCCUGAUCCAGCCAUGCCGCGUGAGUGAAGAAGGCCUUCGGGUUGUAAAGCCCUUUUGUUGGGAAAGAAAAACAGCAGGUUAAUACCCCGAUGUUCUGACGGUACCCAAAGAGUAAGCAACGGCUAACUUCGUG